rnacentral:rRNA from 1 species
UACAGAGGGUGCGAGCGUUACUCGGAAUUACUGGGCGUAAAGCGCGCGUAGGCGGCUUUGCAAGUCGGGUGUGAAAUCCCCGGGCUCAACCUGGGAACUGCAUUUGUGACUGCAUCGCUAGAGUACGGCAGAGGGGGAUGGAAUUCCGCGUGUAGCAGUGAAAUGCGUAGAUAUGCGGAGGAACACCGAUGGCGAAGGCAAUCCCCUGGGCCUGUACUGACGCUCAUGCACGAAAGCGUGGGGAGCAAACAGG